GCCCGGCUGGCUCAGUUGGUAGAGCAUGUGACUCUUGAUCUCAGGGUGGGAAGUUCAAGCCCCGUGUCGGGUG
rnacentral:tRNA from 1 species